rnacentral:rRNA from 2 species
UGCAGUCGAGCGACUGAUUAGAAGCUUGCUUCUAUGACGUUAGCGGCGGACGGGUGAGUAACACGUGGGCAACCUGCCUGUAAGACUGGGAUAACUUCGGGAAACCGAAGCUAAUACCGGAUAGGAUCUUCUCCUUCAUGGGAGAUGAUUGAAAGAUGGUUUCGGCUAUCACUUACAGAUGGGCCCGCGGUGCAUUAGCUAGUUGGUGAGGUAACGGCUCACCAAGGCAACGAUGCAUAGCCGACCUGAGAGGGUGAUCGGCCACACUGGGACUGAGACACGGCCCAGACUCCUACGGGAGGCAGCAGUAGGGAAUCUUCCGCAAUGGACGAAAGUCUGACGGAGCAACGCCGCGUGAGUGAUGAAGGCUUUCGGGUCGUAAAACUCUGUUGUUAGGGAAGAACAAGUACGAGAGUAACUGCUCGUACCUUGACGGUACCUAACCAGAAAGCCACGGCUAACUACGUGCCAGCAGCCGCGGUAAUACGUAGGUGGCAAGCGUUAUCCGGAAUUAUUGGGCGUAAAGCGCGCGCAGGCGGUUUCUUAAGUCUGAUGUGAAAGCCCACGGCUCAACCGUGGAGGGUCAUUGGAAACUGGGGAACUUGAGUGCAGAAGAGAAAAGCGGAAUUCCACGUGUAGCGGUGAAAUGCGUAGAGAUGUGGAGGAACACCAGUGGCGAAGCGGCUUUUUGGUCUGUAACUGAC